AUUGAACGCUGGCGGCAGGCCUAACACAUGCAAGUCGAACGGUAACAGGAAGCAGCUUGCUGCUUUGCUGACGAGUGGCGGACGGGUGAGUAAUGUCUGGGAAACUGCCUGAUGGAGGGGGAUAACUACUGGAAACGGUAGCUAAUACCGCAUAACGUCGCAAGACCAAAGAGGGGGACCUUCGGGCCUCUUGCCAUCGGAUGUGCCCAGAUGGGAUUAGCUAGUAGGUGGGGUAACGGCUCACCUAGGCGACGAUCCCUAGCUGGUCUGAGAGGAUGACCAGCCACACUGGAACUGAGACACGGUCCAGACUCCUACGGGAGGCAGCAGUGGGGAAUAUUGCACAAUGGGCGUAAGCCUGAUGCAGUCAUGCCGCGUGUAUGAAGAAGGCCUUCGGGUUGUAAAGUACUUUCAGCGGGGAGGAAGGGAGUAAAGUUAAUACCUUUGCUCAUUGACGUUACCCGCAGAAGAAGCACCGGCUAACUCCGUG
rnacentral:rRNA from 1 species